CAGGAACUACAGAGAUAAACAAGGCCUGUUGGGACCUUCUGCAGAGUUUGAGAUCAUGAGAGUUGUUACUUGUGCUCAGCAUUCAGCACAAUGAUACCCUCAAUUCGAAUCAACAAGCUCCAAAACCUAGGCAUCUAUACCUCCUUCUGCAACUGGACCCUUGGCUUCUUCAUCAGGAUACACUGUCAAUGUGGAUCAGAAGUAACUUUCGCUCCUUGUUGGCAGUCAACACUGAUGCACCUCAAGGUAGGACAACUCCAGAGUUAUUGAACAUGUUGGCCAACAUAGUCGCUUUGAAACUGCCAGAGAUUUGGGGGCAAAAUGCCAUUGCGUGGUUUGUACAAGUUGAGGCCUAAUUCGAGAUGCAAGAAAACACUGCGGACCACACCAAAUUCUACUAUGCGGCAGCAUCGCUCAGAAACUCCAUGGCUGCAUAACUGGUGAGUCUACUAGAAUAUCCACCUGAACAUAAUAAAUAUUGAUUGCUGAAAACUCACCUUUUACAGACUUUUGAGUCUGAGCGUGCCAAACAGUUGCUCCUCUUGCCCGGCCUUGGUGAUGCCCAGCAGUUGGAGCUAAUAGACCACAUGCUUUCUCUCCUGGGAAUUCCCCAUUCUUGUUUUAUUUUUAAAUACCUCUUCAUGCAGCAAAUGCCUGAGCAAGUUCACAUAGCCCUCACUAAUGCAUCUAUGAAGGGCUAUCGGGAGCUUGAUGAAAUGGCUGAUAGAAUAACAGUGCACCUUUUGCUACCUUCCAUCAUGGUGUACAGCACUCUUGAGCUCCUGUAGAUAUACAUUCUGCCCUGUUUGUUGUAAGCCCCAUGAUGCAAUCCAACAUCCCCUUAGGUCCCCUUUCAAUGGCCUGUUCUACAUUUUGGAACAGAGAAAACAAACUUUUUUCAUAGAUAAGAGGGGUAUAUCUGAGUGUGUUUCGGUAGAUUGCUUCAAACUGCCCCACCAAGUAUUGAAGAAUUCUGCUACCAUGCCCCUGCCAUCAUGACAUGACCAUGAGCAUGUCAACACACCUCUAGACAAGUCAGAGGCACCUGCUGUUCCUCCACCCAUGAAUCAUAGGACUCAAGCCAAGCAGCUCAUUCAAGCUCAGAAUGCCAGUUUUAGUAAAUACUUGGGAGGGGGGUCUGUGUAGGGUAACGUAAUUGGUGGAAACGUACAGAAUUCACAGCCACUGACAUUGAGUUGAGGUUCAUUUUAAGGGGCCGGUUGACAUGAUUACAUAAUUAUGUAAAGUACUUUUACCGUGCAUUGUAUUCAGUAUUGUGCAGUUCAAUAAACGAGAUGGUACAGUUUUUUUCUUAAACAUAAAACUCCUCAAGUUAUUUUAUUUGCAAAAACCUACAAAGGUAUCAAAGGUUACAGGGAAUAGGCAGGAGAAGGGGUUGAGAGGUAUAAUGAAUCAGCCAUGAUGGAAUGGCAGAGCACACAAUGGAGCAAAUGGCCUAAUUAUGCUCCGAUGUCUUAUGGUUGUGCAGACUUGGGCUUUUCUCUCUGGAGCAAAGAACACUCAAAAUACAUCAUAUUCUUAUACCCUUAAGAGCAAAGAUGCUAAUUGUGAUUCCAUACAAUUUGCAUUGUGACAAUGACAUCAUUUCCUUCAAUAUUUUGUGUUUGACAAAUGUUUCCUUUGAGGUCCAUAUUUACAGUGGAAGCACAUUGUAAUUGAUAAUACACCUUUGCUGGGACUAACUAUUUCACACAGAUAAUCUAAAAACUUCUGAGGCCAGAGAGUCAGACAGCCAAGAAUAGUGUUGUGAGGGCUGAAUCUCCAACUAUUUAUAGAUCAGUUAUUUGAUGUGCUAAGUGGUAAUAUAUGUCCAGUCUGCAAGCUUCCUUGAACUUGUUUACAAUUGUACAAAUUACUUAAGCCCGUUGUUGCCUGGUAAUGCAGACUAAUUAACAUAUAAAUGCAUUUUAAGUGAUGUAUGAAAAUGUUUCAUGGUCACUUUACUUUGUAAACCGUAUCUCUUACCAGUCAUCCCCCUGCUGAUGUGUAUUUAAUAUUUAAGUGAUUUUUGAGUAAUGUUGUAAAUGUACUGUUUAAUUAAGCAUUUUUGUUUGUUUACAUAA